ACUGGCAGGCUAGAGUCUUGUAGAGGGGGGUAGAAUUCCAGGUGUAGCGGUGAAAUGCGUAGAGAUCUGGAGGAAUACCGGUGGCGAAGGCGGCCCCCUGGACAAAGACUGACGCUCAGGUGCGAAAGCGUGGGGAGCAAACAGGAUUAGAUACCCUGGUAGUCCACGCCGUAAACGAUGUCGAUUUGGAGGUUGUGCCCUUGAGGCGUGGCUUCCGGAGCUAACGCGUUAAAUCGACCGCCUGGGGAGUACGGCCGCAAGGUUAAAACUCAAAUGAAUUGACGGGGGCCCGCACAAGCGGUGGAGCAUGUGGUUUAAUUCGAUGCAACGCGAAGAACCUUACCUGGUCUUGACAUCCACAGAACUUUCCAGAGAUGGAUUGGUGCCUUCGGGAACUGUGAGACAGGUGCUGCAUGG
rnacentral:rRNA from 1 species